CUGCCCCCUCCCUGCCCCCUCCCUACCCCCGUCCGCUCCAGAGGCUCGCAGGCUCGGGCGUUUCUCCUGCUCCUUUCUCUGAGAAAGCGGCGUGUUGGAAGGGCGCAAGGAGCGGGACCCCAGAAGAAGAGUGACCUCGGGAAGUAUCAAGCAUUUGCCCAUGAGCAGUGUCUGUGGUCUACUGUGACCUUCGGUAGACCUCUUCAUCCACCCGCCCAGCCCAGCCCGGGUGGCUUGACCUUGAAGCCCCAACUGCCCUCGGUUCUCGGAGAAGGACAGACAGAUCGGACAGUCCGCGGGGGUGGAGGAGGGGUGGAGAGGGAAGACACCAGUCCUAAGGUCUGACAACCUUUAAUUUUAUGCAGGUCCUGUCUUCUCACCACACAGCCACAAUUGUAUUCCAUUAAGAUAGGGAACGUUCACCCAGAGAUGAUCCUGUCCUUGCUAAACUAAAGCUUUCCCGCAGCCCAAAUCACGCUGUCCUUUCAAUCACCAGGGUCUCCCCACCGUCAGCCCGCUGGCUCAGGAUGUAUUCUUCAUAUCCAGGACAGCACAUCAUUUUACCUCCUCCCUACCUCUCUCUUUUAACUUCCACGUCCUCCCCUGUCUCUCACCGCUGGGUUUAGACCCUCUUUUCCUCCAUCCCCUCCCUUCUUUCUCUCUUUCUUUGCCUGCUACCACUGUCAUCCCCUGUAAGCCUGUCUCCUGCAGCCACUACUUUCUGUUACCUAUUCUCAUGAUGCACUUAAGAAUAAAGCCUGUCCUGUGUCGCUCCAGGAGAUCCCCGAUGAUGAUCAUAAUUGACGAAACUUAGCUAUUGUGACAUUCCUCAGCUGUGCUGACACCACUGUUUCCCUUGAGAAAAUUUCUUUUCCUAUUUUCACAUUCCCUGAACCUAAUUUCACUGCUAAAUUUAGACAGCCCACUGCACAAGGACUAGCUAAUUAUCUGUUUAGAUAGCACUUUAACACGUUGUUGAGACUCAGUUAAAUGUUAACAACCAAAAUUUUAAUAUCACUAGCCAAUUUUAUCACCCCAGCCUUUCCCUGAGGGUUCCAGUCUCCAGAAGUAAUUUAGCCAACAUUUUAAAAGGUACCAAAGGCUUACUAUGGGGGCUAUUGUGAAACUGCUAUAGAGCCCAUCAGAAAUAAACAGGUUUAGCAUUUCUUGAAAGAAUGAUCUGGAACUUUUAAAAAAUGUAUUUCCUCUCUCUUUGGAAAAAAUUGAAUAAUAGCUUGCUAUGAUUACAUUCCUCACCUAAAUGAAAGCAUGAAAGAGCAGUAUUUAUAGAUGUUAUAUAAGUAUUUAAAGAGCACCAUCCUGGUGUUUUAUGUGCAUAUAUUCAUUAUGUUCGAAUAAUAAUUUGUGUUGGUAUAGUUUCUUCAACUAGAGAUGUCAAAGCAUGUGCUUACUUCCCACAAAAGACAGCACUACUAUUAUCUCUGCUUGACAGCAAGAGGAACCUAGGCACAGAGGUUAAAUUCACCGCAAAUACUGCCAGCCAUAUGCAGUGGUUUUCCUGCUGGAACCAAGUUCUUGCCUUCCAGGAGGUACCACUGACUGAUCCCUCAAGAUUCUUUAUUUUGAGUUAGCAACAAAUUUACUAAGGAAACUCAAAUUUUUACUUUCUAAAUGUGCCCAGUCUCAAAUUACAUUCUCCUGGAUGAAUGAAAUUUAGAUAAAUGUACAUCAAGCUCUUAUGUUGAAAAUUAUUGCUGAGUUAAAAAAUUAUUUUACACAAUAAAAUUCACUUUUUCAAGGGUUGGAACAGCUGGGGUUUUUUUAAACCUUUAACGUGAAAGUAUUGCUAGGCUUUAUAUCAUUACUAUUUUUUUUUACAGAUAAGUUCACAUUAUUUGAGUAGCAAAAAGAUAGAAGGAAACAUUAUAGCUAACAGUAUUUUGACACCAUUGAAUACUAAAUUAUGCAUUUUAAAAAAAAUCUGAACAAAAAUCAACAUGAUCCUAAUGAUAACAAUGGUUUCAUUGUUUUGAGUUGCGAGUGAGUACUGGAGAUGUCCAUCCAACUUUCUGCCUCAAAGACUAUUUGCCAAUUAUCAAGAUUCAUUAACUCUGAACUAAAAAACAAAGGUUGUCACUUUCAACAAAAAAGUACUUGCAUACAGUGCUGGGCAUUUUACACUUACUCCAAUAAUCCAAAUUAAAAAUUUGAGACUAUUAUUAGAAUUUCAUCACAUACUGAAAUAUAGGUGGUAUUUAGUAGUACAGGUAGAACAUUAUGCACUUUAGCUAACUCCCCUUACCAUCAGUACAUUUUUUAUAAUUUGCUGUGUAAAGAAACAUAACUCUUCCCUCAUUAGAAGACAUGAAGAUACUUUGUAGAAUGUUCAAGUCGGUACCAUAUUUGAUAAUAAACUGGUGUUACCCACCUAGAAUCACAAAAUUAUACAAAUAGUUAAAGUACAGACCCACAAAAAAACUACCACUUGCAAAAUAUUUGCCAAGGUUACAUUUAACAAAGCAAUUCUUCCCUACUGAAAAGAUUCUCCUCAUACAGUCACACCACUUUCUCCCUCAUAUUUCCUUUAUUUCUUUGCUGAAAUCACUUUAUUACUGAGACCUUUAGGACUAUCCAAAGGAAAGGUCUUUCCUCAUCCCAAAUCCAAUUCCUGAACUUGAUUUAUUUGCUUCAUUGCACUAACCAUCUGACAUAUUAUGUAUUUAUUGUCUUUUCCCCUUCUUAGAAUGAAAGUUCUACAAGGGCAAGCAAAUAUCUGUUUUUCCACUGCUUAAAUCCAAUCUAAAUACUUUGAGUAAUGCCAUAUUGGUCCCAGGCGUGAUGAUCAAAUGCUAACUGUGGUGACAGUAUACUCAAGUGCAUGUCUAAUGGAAAAAAAAACUCAAAGAAGUGUAUUUAUUUUUUAAAAUCUUAAGCAUGUGAUUGAUCACAUUGAAUUUUUUAAGCUGAAAGGUGGUUACCCUGGCCAUUGCUUAAGACUUUGAUUUAAUUUCCAUUAGCAUUGCUUUUGAAACUAUAACUUCUAUAUUGCACAUUCAUACUUCUACAUCCCAGCUUUGUAAUAAUAGGGCUAGGAUUCUGCAAAUUACAUGCAUCCUUUACCAUUUGGUUUCCUAAUUGGUUCUAUCAAUAAAAGGCACUAUAGGGUGGAAAGUAGGAGUAUGGGAGAAGGGACUUGUUCCUUUCUAUUUGCUUCUUCUUGCAAAGAAGCAUUACCUCAACAGUAAUAGCCCAUUAUCCUGUCUUUAGCAGUUGUUUCCAGCUGGCCAGCCUCCCACCUAUUUUACCUUCUAAAAUCCAGACUUAUCCCAACCUCUCAAAUUUAUCGGCUCCAACCAAACUGUUCCCAUUUCUCACAGGUGCAAUUUCAAGCUGGAUAGGAUCCCUCCCCUGAACUCAGUUCUAAUAACCAAACUUUUCCCCCAUUGUUCCUCUACCUGUGAAGUAAGAACAACUUCCUACCUAGCAGACAAAUUCACAUCUAUGAGUUACCUCAGUGUUCCUCUUUUUCAUCUGGAGAUUCCUUCCCACCAACUCUGUAACAUUCCCCUAAUACUAAGUUCCUCAGUUAUAUAGUUUGGUUUCUAUAUUUCUCAUUAAACCUCAAUUAAUGCUCAUUUUUAAUGCCCAUUUCCCCAAACCUUCACUGCAUGUAAUACUUCUGCCAAAAUUACUAUCCAUAGACUCAGAAUGCUUUAUCCACCGUCAUGAAUUCCAUACAGCAUUGUCUCUGACCAAGGAACGUAUUGUAUGGCCAAAGAAGUGAUGCAAUGGGCUCAUGCUCAUGAAUUCACUGGUCUUACCAGACUCCUCACUAUCCAAAAGUGGUUGGACUGAUAGGUGAAAUGGUCUUUUGAAGACACAGUUACAGUGCCAGCUAGCUGGCAAUAGCUUGUAGGGAUAGGAAAAAGUUCUCCAAAAGGCUGUAUAUGCUUUGAAUCAUUGUCCACUAUAUGGUACUGUGUCUCCCAUAGGCAGGAUUUAUGAGUCCAGGAAUCAAGAGGUAGAAGUGGGAAUGGUACCACUCAUCACUACUCCUAGUGAUCCCAAAAUUUUUACUUCCUGUUCCCAUGAUUUUAUGCUCUGCUGGUUUAGAAGUCUUGGUUCCAGAGUGGGGAAGGCUCAUAUCAGGAAGCACAACAAUAAUAUUGAACUGGAACAUAAGACUUCCCCCUUAUCAUUUUGGUCUUCUCAUGCCUCUGAGUAAACAAGCUAAAAAGGGAGUUACAGUGUUGGUAAGUAUGGUUGACCCAGACUAUCAAGGGGGAUAUAGGACUAUUACUCCACAAUGGAAGAAAGGAAGAACCUACUUGGAGUCCAGGAGAUUCUUAAGGGUGCCUCCUGGUAUUACCAUGCCCUGCUAUUGAAGUCCAUGUGACACUACACAAAUCCAAUCCAGGCAGAAUGACGGAUGGUCCAGAACUUUCAGGAAUAAAGGUGUGGGUCAACCCAUCAAGGAAAGAACCAAGACCUGCUGAGGUGAAUACAGAAUAGGUAAUAGAAGAAGGUAGUUCUAAAUACCAGCUAUGAGCCCAUGAUCAGCUACAGAAACAAGGAUUGUAAUUAGAAUAGUACUCUCCUAAUAUGGUUCCUAUGUAAUAUAAUGUUGAUAAACAAUAUUAGUUCUUAAAUAUUGUUAAAACUGUGUUAUAAUGUUCACAUUAUGAAAUAUUAGGAGUAAAGAUCACCCAAGGAAAACUUGCCUUCAAUGCCAGGGAGGGAAUUAGUGCGUUUCUGUUUGUACAUAGGAUAGUUAUAACAUGUUAUAAUCAUUAUUAACAGGCAUAAUUAUGAACUUGUCUUUGUAUCUGGAGACUAUGGUUUAAAGAAAUGUGCCUGGUUAUCAAGCUGACAAGGAGUGGAUUGUGACAGUUAACUGAUUUUGUCAACUGGAGUAAGAAAUGUCCGACUAAAUUGGGUCAGCAAAGUUCUGGGUGUGGAAGACCUACCCCAGGGAGGAUUGUUGCCAGGAGUGUAUAAAAGAAAAACAAAGAAGGAAGGCUUUCUUCUGUUUCUUUGGAGGAGCUCCAGUCUGAGCCUUCACCUUAGACAACAUCUUCCACUGCAAACUCUUCAGCCUUCCAACACAGACUCUUCAGCCAUGUCACAGACCCUUCAGCCUCCUGAUGCAGACUUUCAGGAGAAACUGAGCUCCAGGCCUUCAACUGGAUCCAUCAGGGCUCCAGUGCACACACAGACUUUUGUGCUAUUCCACAUCUGAUUCUGUGGGCUGCCAGUGUAAGACAGUCUUGUAAAUUUUUAUAUAUUUGUAUAUUUUCCAUUAAAUAUGUUUCUUUAGUAAGCACUGACUGAUACAAAUACAAUUUAUACUCAUAAAUUAUCAGGCAAAAUGUUAGGGCAGGUUUUAAUUUAUUUCCACUGAAUGUUAUUCAGUUGAGUCUUUGAGAUAACUCAAUGAAUGUAAUAAUGUAUUUUUAAUAGAAGGGAGAAGAGAGGGAAAAUAGAGGGUUUUGCUAUUGUAUUUAGAUUGUGCUGAACCAAAGAAGUCUAGUGUCUCCACAGGCUCAUUCGGUGAAGAACCACUUUUCCCUUCAUGGAUGUUUCAACAGAUCAUAUCCUAAUAUGUUACCUAAAAUGUUGUUUUCUCACUUUACCCUUUGGUAUCUAACCCUGAACAGAUGUUUAUCAGCCACCACAUGUUCCCCCAA